rnacentral:rRNA from 1 species
UGCGCGGAAGAUGUAACGGGGCUAAGCCAGUUACCGAAGCUGCGGAUGCAUCCGCUCUUUUAAUGUGUUUAAUCGAGAUACUUCAUUGUGAGAGUUUUGAAUGCAAAUUCAAAACUCUCACUAACGUACUCCAAAAGGCUUGGACAGGAAAGAGUCCAAAAGGCUUGGACAGGAAAGAGUCCAAAAGGCUUGGACAGGAAAGAGUCCAAAAGGCUUGGACAGAGAGGGUCCAAAAGGCUUGGACAGAGAGGGUCCAAAAGGCUUGGACAGAGAGGGUCCAAAAGGCUUGGACAGAGAGGGUCCAAAAGGCUUGGACAGGAAAGAGUCCAAGAGGCUUGGGCAGAGAGGGUCCAAAGUACUUAAGGAGGUUUGAAUCUUAAACUGUAAUUUUAAGAUUUAUGGAUAAUCGAACGAAGUAAUAUUAAAAGUAGAUCUUUUAAACAGAAAGUUUAAGAGGAGUACAUAAAUUAAUAAGCUUUUGAUAAAAAGCUUAUAAAGAUUAGACAUAUUAAGAGAGCGGAUGCGUGGUAGGAGAGCGUUCUGUAAGCCAGAGAAGGUGAAUCGAGAGGUUUGCUGGAGGUAUCAGAAGUGCGAAUGCUGACAUGAGUAGCGAUAAAGGGAGUGAAAAGCUCCCUCGCCGUAAGUCCAAGGAUUCCUGCGCAACGUUCAUCGGCGCAGGGUUAGUCGGCCCCUAAGGUGAGGCAGAGAUGCGUAGCUGAUGGGAAGUGGGUUAAUAUUCCUACACCGGCUUGUGAUGUGAAGGGGGGACGGAUUGCGGAAUGUGUACGGGCUGUUGGAAAUGCUCGGUAUUGUAGCCAAGAAGUUGAUUAGGCAAAUCCGGUCAAAGGAUUCAAGGCUAUGAUUCGCAGAAGACUUAAGGUCUUUGAAGUCACAGGAAGUGGUUCCAGGAAAAGCCUCUAAGCGUUAAAUUACAAGUUGACCGUACCGCAAACCGACACAGGUGGACGGGAUGAAUAUUCCAAGGCGCUUGAGAGAACUCAGGAGAAGGAACUCGGCAAAUUGAUACCGUAACUUCGGGAGAAGGUAUGCCUUUGUAUGGUGAGUAGCCAGAAGAGGCCGCAGAGAAUAGGUGGCUGCGACUGUUUAUUAAAAACAUAGCACUCUGCAAACACGAAAGUGG